rnacentral:rRNA from 1 species
AGCUCCAAUAGCAUAUAUUAAAGUUGUUGCAGUUUAAAACCUUGAAUUUGGAUUUCUAGCUGGGCAUGCGAGUCCGAUCUUAUGAUUGUGCACCAUACAUAUCUGGCCAUCCUUUGGUAAAGCAACAUUGAUAAUAAGUUCUCAGUGUGGGGAUUCCAAUCCUUUACUACAAAGAAGUUAUAGUGUUCAAAACAGGCUUACACUGUUGAAUAUAUCAGCACGAAAUAAGAACAUAGGUAUACUGUAUUAUUUUGUUGGUUUGUGCAUAGUAUUUACAAUUAUUAGGGAAAAUUGUGUUAUUUGUAUUUCAAUGUUAGAGGUGAAAAUCUUGAUUUUUUGGAAGACAAACUAUUGCAAAAGUAUUUACCAAAUAUAUUUUCG